rnacentral:rRNA from 1 species
UACGUAGGGGGCAAGCGUUGUCCGGAUUUACUGGGCGUAAAGAGCGUGUAGGCGGCCAAGCAGGUCCGUUGUGAAAACUGGAGGCUUAACCUCCAGACGUCGACGGAAACCGCGUGGCUAGAGUCCGGAAGAGGAGAGUGGAAUUCCUGGUGUAGCGGUGAAAUGCGCAGACAUCAGGAAGAACACCAAUGGCGAAGGCAGCUCUCUGGGACGGUACUGACGCUGAGACGCGAAAGCGUGGGGAGCGAACAGG